rnacentral:rRNA from 1 species
GUUGAACGCUGGCGGCAUGCCUUACACAUGCAAGUCGAACGGCAGCACGGGAGCAAUCCUGGUGGCGAGUGGCGAACGGGUGAGUAAUAUAUCGGAACGUGCCCAGUCGUGGGGGAUAACGUAGCGAAAGCUACGCUAAUACCGCAUACGAUCUAUGGAUGAAAGCGGGGGAUCGCAAGACCUCGCGCGAUUGGAGCGGCCGAUAUCAGAUUAGGUAGUUGGUGAGGUAAAGGCUCACCAAGCCGGCGAUCUGUAGCUGGUCUGAGAGGACGACCAGCCAAACUGGGACUGGGACACGGCCCAGACUCCUACGGGAGGCAGCAGUGGGGAAUUUUGGACAAUGGGCGCAAGCCUGAUCCAGCAAUGCCGCGUGCAGGAUGAAGGCCUUCGGGUUGUAAACUGCUUUUGUACGGAACGAAACGGCGAGCUCUAAUACAGUUUGCUAAUGACGGUACCGUAAGAAUAAGCACCGGCUAACUACGUGCCAGCAGCCGCCGUAA